rnacentral:lncRNA from 1 species
UUAUACAUACACGACAGGGAACCAAAUUCCAGCCACACGUACUUUCAAAGUAGUCGUUAUUUUCAGCUUACACAUACGAGUGAUUUGAGAAAAAUAUUUUGAAUAUCAUUUCAAAAAUUCGUUUGAUUUAACGAGGUAGGAUAACAAGGUGUGGUUGCUUUUAUCCUGUUUAAAUUAUUUUUUUCGUGUUUUUGAAUUAUUAUACCUAUGAAAGUUAAAGAUAUAAUAUGAUAUGUAUAAUAUGGUCAUCCGGUACCAAAAAUAUGAUAUGUAUUGACCUCUUACCAAUCCCUAAAGAUAUGAUGACGGUAUAAUAUUUUUGACGCAUAAUUUAAAUAUUUUUAUUUGGAAUUGCACCAUUAUUCAUGUCCUACUAAGUAUUCCCAUAUACUCACCAUUUUCUUCUACUCCUCACAGGUUAAAAUGGAUCAUUGGUUGGCGGACGAUGAGAAGCAGUUGUGGUGUCAAGAUUUAUGGAACUCAAUAAAAAUAAUUCGCUAUUACAUGACUACGGAUUUUAUUGUUAGCAUUAUUUUAGUUUUAUUAUCCCGUGUAUUUUGUUA